rnacentral:lncRNA from 1 species
UUUCUCCUAACGGAGUUUCCACAGAUAGGUCAAAGUCUAAUUUCUCCGGAGUCAAGUUUAAACGUUGAGCACAAGCAGGAGAGAUAAAUGAAUGGGUAGCACCGGUAUCAAGUAAUGUAUAAACUUCGCAUGAAUUUAUGAUUAGCUUACCCGUGAUCACCUCGUUUGGGUUCCUCGCAUGUUGACCAGUCACGACAAACGCUCUUCCAGG